AUAGAGGAGCUGAGCACUUUGAAAUGUGCUCAUGAGCGCGAGGCAGGAGGAGUAGCAGCUUCUCUCCACAGACAGCUGCAGGACAAAAACUUGGAGCUCAGACAGCUCCACAGGAGCAUGGCUCAGUGGAAGCAGCAGACUGCAGCUCGCCUUGCGUGCAAGUUUGAAGAACAGUUAACAGCUGAACUGGAGAGGUGCAAAGCAAAGUUGAUAAGGAGCAGAAAAGCAUCAAAGACUGAAGAGGUCAGGCCCG